GACGAACGCUGGCGGCGUGCUUAACACAUGCAAGUCGAACGGUGAAGGUGGGAGCUUGCUCCUGCUGGAUCAGUGGCGAACGGGUGAGUAACACGUGAGUAACCUGCCCUUGACUCUGGGAUAAGCGUUGGAAACGACGUCUAAUACCGGAUACGAGCUUCAGCCGCAUGGCUAGGAGUUGGAAAAAUUUUUCGGUUGAGGAUGGACUCGCGGCCUAUCAGCUUGUUGGUGAGGUAAUGGCUCACCAAGGCGACGACGGGUAGCCGGCCUGAGAGGGUGACCGGCCACACUGGGACUGAGACACGGCCCAGACUCCUACGGGAGGCAGCAGUGGGGAAUAUUGCACAAUGGGCGCAAGCCUGAUGCAGCAACGCCGCGUGAGGGACGACGGCCUUCGGGUUGUAAACCUCUUUUAGCAGGGAAGAAGCGCAAGUGACGGUACCUGCAGAAAAAGCACCGGCUAACUACGUGCCAGCAGCCGCAGUAA
rnacentral:rRNA from 1 species